AGGACGAACGCUGGCGGCGUGCUUAACACAUGCAAGUCGAGCGGAAAGGCCACUUCGGUGGUACUCGAGCGGCGAACGGGUGAGUAACACGUGAGUAAUCUGCCCCCCACUUCGGGAUAGCCACCGGAAACGGUGAUUAAUACCGGAUAUGACACAUGGUCGCAUGGUUGUGUGUGGAAAGUUUUUCGGUGGGGGAUGUGCUCGCGGCCUAUCAGCUUGAUGGUGAGGUAAUGGCU
rnacentral:rRNA from 1 species